AGCUAGGCAUGGUGGUUAAAAUUUUUACUCUCUGUGAAAGGUUAUUUCUUAGGGUCUGAAGAGCUGUCCCUCUUCAGCCUAACAAUUAAAUUUACAGGGGGAUUAAAUAAUUCUGUAGGUAAAUUUAAGAUUGAACUAAGAUUCUGUCUUGGACAACCAGCUAUCACCAGGCUUGGUAGGUUUGUUGUCACUACCCAUAGAUUUUCCCACUAUUUUGCCACAUAGAUGGGUGUGCUCUUUUAGCUAUCCUUGGGUAGUUCACUUGGUUUCGGGGAGCAUUGUUGAAGUUCUCUUAAUAGAGCUAUCCU